GCCCCUAAGUCUGGGAUACCAUUUGGAAAAGGUGCUAAUACCGGAUAAUAAAGCAGAUCGCAUGAUCAGCUUUUGAAAGGCGGCGUAAGCUGUCGCUAAGGGAUGGCCCCGCGGUGCAUUAGCUAGUUGGUAAGGUAACGGCUUACCAAGGCGACGAUGCAUAGCCGAGUUGAGAGACUGAUCGGCCACAUUGGGACUGAGACACGGCCCAAACUCCUACGGGAGGCAGCAGUAGGGAAUCUUCCACAAUGGACGCAAGUCUGAUGGAGCAACGCCGCGUGAGUGAAGAAGGUUUUCGGAUCGUAAAGCUCUGUUGUUGGUGAAGAAGGAUAGAGGUAGUAACUGGCCUUUAUUUGACGGUAAUCAACCAGAAAGUCACGGCUAACUACGUGCCAGCAGCCGCGGUAAUACGUAGGUGGCAAGCGUUGUCCGGAUUUAUUGGGCGUAAAGCGAGCGCAGGCGGAAAAAUAAGUCUAAUGUGAAAGCCCUCGGCUUAACCGAGGAACUGCAUCGGAAAACUGUUUUUCUUGAGUGCAGAAGAGGAGAGUGGAACUCCAUGUGUAGCGGUGGGAAUGCGUAGAUAUAUGGAAGAACACCAAGUGGGCGAAAGGCGGCUCUCUGGUCUGCAACUGACGCUGAAGCUCGU
rnacentral:rRNA from 1 species